UGUGGUUGCACCAUUUUACAACCCCACCAACAGUGUGUGGCAUCUGCUGUAUUCUUGAUUGUCAUGGAAUAAUGAAAUCGUGGGCUGGAAGACAUGAAUGUGGAAAUUUUCCCUACCCAUUAUAUUUCUUAUGCAAGCAAUAUAUCCUAGUUACUUCAGGUCAGCAUGACAUUGUGUGCAAAAUUACAUACUGCAUGGGACCAGAUGAGACAUUGCCAUAUAUUGCUCAUGAGGAUGCAAAUUGCCACUUAUCUGGAAAAGAUUCUCACAAUAAAAGAACAAGCAAUUUCUCUCUCUGUAGUGAGGCUGUUAAUAUCUCAUGGAUGGGUAAUGAGAAAGAGACAGAUGAGAGGAAUAAAGGUGUUACAUUUCGUUUUCUAUUUUAUUUUUUCUUUUAUGUAACUUCUGUCAAAUUAAUAGUAUAAAAGUACAUGUUUUCAAUUUUUUAUUAUUUCCAUUCUAGAACAUGACAUCAAUUUGAGAGAAAGAGAUAAUAUCUUAUUUUAUAUUGGAAACUGGCUAACAUAUUCCAUAACCCAAAUAGUAUUUUUUUUUGUUUCUAAAGAUAAUAUAAAAAGUCAAUUUAGAAACAUUUCAAUA